CUAGUGACAUUGCAAUGGACGGACUCAAGUUGCGAUUAAUCCGAUGCCCCGAACCCCUGUUUAUCUCAUAGGUGGAUCAUGUAGCAACAUGCUUGAUGGGUAUAAGAUCUUGAUAUAAUUCGCUCAUCUUAUUACAAUGGUUGGAGACUGAUCGUAUCAUAUGAAGUUAAAGAGAAGAAGUCUAAGGUCGUAUCUGCACCCAAGUUGCCUGUGGCAUUGGGUUGUUCCGCUUUCUGCCAUUUUGCUCCGCUGCAGGCUCUUCUGUCUGGCUGGUCUGCUGUAGAUCCUAGUUCAUGGGAUCAUCAUUACUCUUUUUAGAGAUUGAUACGAGAUGUACAGGGAAACCCGAGAUCAGAAUCUUACAAUGAGUUUGUCCGAACAUGGGAUUGUACCAUCGACAAAUCCUACAAACAAUUGGCUUCGAAGGUUGAGCAUGAUCUGUGCCCUCCAUAGUAGAUAGUUCUCAUGGGUAAGUUUUAGGUUGAGAAAGUGGCUAAGGGAUGACGAUGAGAGGACGCCGGAGAUGGAAGAGAUGGUGCCGACAGUUGUGGAAUUCCUUGUGGUUGACAUGAUGUUGAUCUACAUUGAAUUAGGCUUUGCUACCAUGUAAAAGAUAGCGAAAAAAGUUUGUCAAUGGCUGGCUUAGUCUGAAAUGGUUGCCGGCAAUAUAUUUUCGGAUGAUGCACA